rnacentral:lncRNA from 13 species
CUGACAGAACUGAGAGAAUCUCAGGAGUCACAAUAUUGGAUUUUGUCAUCAAUACAUGUCUUAAAUGGAGACUGUCAACAACACGUUGCCUUAAUGUAAAUGAACAAGAUGGCGGAAGAGAAACAAAUAAGAUCUUAAUUUAUAUUUUCCCCUUUCUCAGGAGCCAAAGUGCAACAGGCCACAGACAACCGUCUCUUCUAUUGGGGGAUGAUAUCAGGCGUUGCAGCAUGUGUAGCUGUCCUGGUGUUUGGUGGCGUAAUCAUGAGGAAAAUUCAUCUCAGGAGAACACAGCUACAAGUGUCUGGAACCGUCAACGAGGUGCCACAACACUGCUUGCUGUUGCCUGUUAGUCAGAUGACAGCAGCUGGGUCCCCAUUUACAACAGUUGCGUACAUUUCACAAUAAAUAUCUGCGUGCAGCAUUUCUGAAAAGACCGCACACGUACAAUAACAUUGAGAUUCAUCAACUUGGGCGGAUGCAAUACGUAUGCAUGUUUCCACUAUAAAUCAGACCCUUCCUGAACCUGUGCGCGCCGUGAGUGAGAAUCUGCCUGAAAAACAGCCUUCAUUCACCAUUUAUAGUGACAAUAACGCCUUGUUUCACUGAAAACUUUGGAAGUAUUGUAAUUAUACCAUGGUAGUUUCUAAAUAGAAAUGGUGAGCUUGAUCAAAUGUCUCUGGAGGUGUUGGCAGAAUGUUUUAAACUUUUACAGUGACAUUUGCAGUAUCUGACCAUUUCUGAAAGAAGAAACUAUUGCAAAUGGUUGUGGACCUGUAAACAGAUUGUUUGAAUUCAGUAAUGUAUUUUUAAUAUGCUGCACUGACCUCCAAUUCUGAAACACUGUCUAUUUGGAAACAAAUGACAACUACAGGACAGGCCUACUUACGCUGGUAGCCUACCCAGUUGGCACAACCUGGUUGAAAAGACCUCAUUAUGACAUCUUUUUAUGACGUUUUACUCUGUUGCAAAGUGGUUGACAAAUGAAGUUUUUUUUUACGUCUUUUUACUGACCAGAAUAUCAUGUAUUUUUCUAACCCCCAUAUGACCAGUGGGCAAAACCUGGUUGAAAAUAAGUAUUUUCAUGACAUCUUAUUCUGGUCUCAAACUGGUUGAAAAAUGACGCUUUUUUUACUGACCAGAAUAUGAUGUAUUUUUCUGCCCGCCAGCGACUAGUUGGUCAUAAUUGUGACCUCUAUCUGACCAGCUGGUCAUAAUUCUGACCACUAUAUUAUGUGCUAUAUUAUGGAGCCUACUGGUCAUAGUUUAGACCUCAUCAUCACCUGGUGAUGACUACAGCUUAUUACUUACACUCUUAGAAAAAGGAAUCCAGAAGGGUUCUUCAGCUGUCCCGAUAGAAGAACCCUUUUUGGUUCUAGGGAGAAGCCUUUUCAGUUCCAUGUAGAACCCUCUGUGGAAAGGGUUCAACAUAGAACCCAAAGGGGUUCUACCUGAAACCAAACAGGGUUCUUCAAGGGUUCUCCAAUGGGGACAGCCAACACGGACGAUGAUGGGCCAAUUGUGCACCUCCUCAUGUGUCUCCCUGUCUCGGCCGGCUGCGACACAGCCCAGGAUCAAACCCUGAUGUGUAGUAGUGACGCCUCUAGCACUGCGAUGCAGAGUUGUGGCAGUUACAGCUUAGAAACGUCUUUACUUUUAAAAAGAGCAACUUGAUCAUAUACAUACUUUGCGUCCUUCUCCAACAAGGCUCAGGGGCAUAUUUUAGGACUUUCCAGAGGGCACCAAACACAUCAACCUCCUGACUCUUCUGGCUUUUCAUGACACUUUCUGUAAGCAUAAAAUAUAUGUUUUCCAUAAUGUGGGCUUGUAGGAUAUAACAGUAACACACAGUCAAAUAUAUUUAACAGUCAGAAUCUACUAAAAGUGGUAGCAAAGGCAUGUUUGCUCCUCUGUCCCUUCAUAUCGAAGUGGGACAUUCAUUCAUUGGUCAUCAAUCUGAAGCAUUUUAAGAAAGAGGUUAUCUGAACUCCUCUUUAAAUGGUCAAGUUUAGCUUAGUCCUAAUACACAUUGUAAUAUUCAAACAACUUAUUAUAAACACACAGCUCCAUAAUCCUGAGGACAUUGUCCUGGACAGAGGUACCCCAAUAUAGGACAGCUUGGCAGUCUUAAAAAAAUGAUGCACAAAUGUAAGUAUGUGUAAAGAUACAAUAAAAUAUUAUCUUGUUCAAAAAUUAUGCGUCUGUCAUAUCAUUCCUGCAACAAACAGUGUUAGAAAUGGGUGUAACUGCACGUGUGUGAGUCUGAGUGAGCAACAGAGAGAAUGAGCAAGAGAGAAAUGGAAGAAAUUUACAUGACUCACCAGGGGAGGUGUCUGUUGAGUCAGGAAAUUUUACAUGACUCACCAGGGGAGGUGUCUGUUGAGUCAGGAAACUUUACAUGACUCACCAGGGGAGGUGUCUGUUGAGUCAGGAAACUUUACAUGACUCACCAGGGGAGGUGUCUGUUGAGUCAGGAAACUUUACAUGACUCACCAGGGGAGGUGUCUGUUGAGUCAGGAAACUUUACAUGACUCACCAGGGGAGGUGUCUGUUGAGUCGGGACACAAGGCUCUUCCAAAGUUGGUUCGUAGGAAUCAAUACACAUAGAAAAUCUCAGUACCAAACAACAUUUUUCACACAUCUUACUGUCAAUGACUAUGGAUUUAAGGAGGGGUGGUUCUGCACUCUCCAUUCCCUGGGAUGUGGCAGAAUAGGUCACUGGUAACUGAGUGGGUGGCCAUAGACAUGUUUCAGGAACUGUAAAGACAGAGACGAAUUAAGGUCUUCACUAAGUUAGGCUUGGC